rnacentral:rRNA from 1 species
CCUACGGGAGGCUGCAGUGAGGAAUAUUGGUCAAUGGGCGUAAGCCUGAACCAGCCAAGUCGCGUGAGGGAUGAAGGGUCUAUGGAUCGUAAACCUCUGUUAUAAGGGAAUAAAGUGUGGGACGUGUCCUAUUUUGUAUGUACCUUAUGAAUAAGGAUCGGCUAACUCCGUGCCAGCAGCCGGGGUAAUACGGAGGAUCCGAGCGUUAUCCGGAUUUAUUGGGUGUAAAGGGUGCGUAGGCGGCCUUUUAAGUCAGCGGUGAAAGUCUGUGGCUCAACCAUAGAAUUGCCGUUGAAACUGGGGGGCUUGAGUAUGUUUGAGGCAGGCGGAAUGCGUGGUGUAGCGGUGAAAUGCUUAGAUAUCACGCAGAACCCCGAUUGCGAAGGCAGCCUGCCAAGCCAUGACUGACGCUGAUGCACGAAAGCGUGGGGAUCAAACAGGAUUAGAUACCCCGGUAGUC